UCGAGUCUCCCCAAGAGCAAGGUGGGAAGUUCUUGGAGGGAAGGAUGUCGGGGGUCUAUUUGGAAACAGCCUCACUACCCAAGGGUAGGGGUAAGGUCCACGUGCACGCUACCCUCCCCAGACCCCACUAAGUGGGAUUAUACUGGGUUGUUGUUGUUGUUGUUCUUCUUCUUCUUCUUCUUUCAUGGGAGCCGACGUUGGAACAACUUUGGAGUGUCAUUUUCAUCACCAAGCAUGAGGUAAGUGAUUUCUACUAGUUUUGAGUAUAUACAAGGUUUAUAUAUGAAUUUAGACAUGGAAAAUUGUAGAAACUUGGGGUUUGAGAGAAAACCUAGAAAAUUAGUAUUUUUGGAAUUUGACCCCGAUUUUGGGUAUGGACUUUAGAGAAAAUCAUAUAUUUGAGUUCUUAAGGCUAUGUGUAAUAUUUAUCUUCAAAAAUUUUUGGAUUCCGAGUACGUGGGCUCGAGGGCAUGUUCAUCAACUUUUCGUUCGGGGUUAGGAAUUGUUACAAAUUGGGUUGUAAAGUUUAAUUGAGUUUAUAUUAAUGGAUUUGUAUGACCAUUGUCUAGUUUUGGAGCAUUAUGCAUUGGUUCGAUCCUUCGAAAGAAUGUGGAGUGACAGUUAUGAGUCUUCGUAGCGAUGUGAGUCUCUUUUCUAAUCUUGUGAGGGGGAAUUUACCCAAUAGGUGAGUUAAAUUAGUUAUGUGCUCUUAUUUGUGAGGUCUACGCACACACGAGGUGACGAGAGUCCGUGCGUAGCUACUAUUAUGCUAUUGUCCGAGUAGUGUGGGAUCCAAAAACAUGUUAUACUUGAAUUAACUGUGAACCCAUUGAUGGCUUGAAUUGCAUAAAUCACAUUAAAUUAAAAAAAAAUUUUCUAAAAUGACUUUUCAAAAUUUAUAAAAUGACUUUUCAAAAUUUCUAAAAUGACUUUUCAAAUUUUUCUCAAAAUUAUUAAAGGGAAUUGGCUUUUCUUGAAUAUUUGCUCCAUGUUGAUUUCUUGACUGAUUGUCUGUCUGUGUGAGUUUAAUUUGGAACGGGUCGAACGCCUCGAAAAACUAAUAGAUGCAUCUAUAUGUGCGCCGUCGACCCUCGAAAAGUACACAUUUAUUUUUGUUGGAUCGAACCGUCGACCUCAGUAUGAUUUGCGUAUGCUUGUAUUGCUGCCUGGACUCAUUUGAGUUGUUUUAUGCCUCACUAUGGCUCG
rnacentral:lncRNA from 1 species